rnacentral:rRNA from 1 species
CUACGGGAGACAGCAGUGGGGAAUAUUGCACAAUGGGCGCAAGCCUGAUGCAGCAACGCCGCGUGAACGAAGAAGGUCUUCGGAUCGUAAAGUUCUUUUCUUAGGGAAGAAAAAUGACGGUACCUAAGGAAUAAGCACCGGCUAAAUACGUGCCAGCAGCCGCGGUAAUACGUAUGGUGCAAGCGUUAUCCGGAAUCACGGGGCGUAAAGGGAGCGUAGGCGGUUUUGCAAGUCAGAAGUGAAAGGCUACGGCUCAACCGUGGUAAGCUUUUGAAACUGCAAGACUAGAGUGCAGGAGAGGCAAGUGGAAUUCCUAGUGUAGAGGUGAAAUUCGUAGAUAUUAGGAGGAACACCAGUGGCGAAGGCGACUUGCUGGACUGUAACUGACGCUGAGGCUCGAAAGCGUGGGGAGCGAACAGGAUUAGAUACCCUCGUAGUC